UCCUGAAGAAAAAUAUUUCGUUAAGAAGACAGUGCAAGAAAUAGCCAAUUUGAAAGUUUGGUUUUGUGGUAAAGCAGUAAAAUUCUGCGGGUGUUGGACGUUGUUUUCCUAUUUCAAUGGCGCUUAUCAACGGAUACUGGCGGCGUCGUUGAUAAGGUUCCAGGAUCCUAUAAAUGGAAGGUUUCAACUUCAUUUUGGUCAAAGUAAUAAUUCUGCAAACUUCACUUCGCCGGACUAUAUCCGUAACUAUAACUUUCUGAAAGGUUUUGCUGGGAUGAAGAGAGAGAUUAGUCUUAACAUCAAACAGCGUUCAGAGCAGCAUGACAGACAACAGUUGAUUGAUAUAACCAAAGAUAUUGAACGGAUUAGCUAGUAUUUAUCGUCAGUAGUGGACGCAGUAAGUCCAUUAAUAUAGAGUGGUGGUAGUUAUCGUGGUGGUAGUUAAAACUACCCAUAAGUUUUAUACCUAGAGAAACUGACCGGGUUUGUUAAUUAAUAAAGGCUUAUAAAGAUUUGUCUACGCUAAAUUUGAGUGACUUUCCUUUUGAUCCAACAGCAAUCCUACUAGAUUAAAUGAUAGUUUAUUGGAAUGUUUUCUUUAUCGCAAGAAUAUAUAACUUGCAAUGCAAAAGACAAUCGUCCAUUGAUUUAACUUUCUAUGAAUAUAAAUUUGAGAUAACGAAGUAUAACUAAUGUCUUCAAUUUAUUGGAAAGUUAAUAUUAAUGUCGAAAUACUAGCUAAUGUGAGGUAUUGCUAAUGUGUGUAAAUAUUAAAUUUAGAUUAAUUUGGUAGUUUUAACAACCACCAACAAUG